rnacentral:rRNA from 1 species
UACGUAGGGUGCAAGCGUUGUCCGGAAUUAUUGGGCGUAAAGAGCUCGUAGGCGGUCUGUCGCGUCUGCUGUGAAAAUCCGGGGCUCAACCCCGGACUUGCAGUGGGUACGGGCAGACUAGAGUGUGGUAGGGGAGACUGGAAUUCCUGGUGUAGCGGUGAAAUGCGCAGAUAUCAGGAGGAACACCAGCGGCGAAGGCGGCGCUCUGGGCUGGAACUGACGCUGAGGAGCGAAAGCGUGGGGAGCGAACAGG